rnacentral:rRNA from 1 species
GACGAAGGAUGCAAGCGUUAUCCGGAUUCAUUGGGUUUAAAGGGAGCGUAGGCGGCCUUGUAAGUCAGUGGUGAAAUCUCUGGGCUUAACCCAGAAAUUGCCAUUGAUACUGCAGGGGCUUGAGUACAGUUGCCGUUGGCGGAAUAUGACAUGUAGUGGUGAAAUACAUAGAGAUGUCAUAGAACACCGAUUGCGAAGGCAGCUAACGAAACUGUAACUGACGCUGAGGCUCGAAAGUGUGGGGAUCAAACAGG